CUUAUGCCCUUGAUUCUGAGGGCCCCGGGCUUGCUGGAUGGGGGCUCACCGGGUAUCAUCCCGUUUCUGGUUGGAGCAAGGGACCUUGCCUCGCUAUUGAAAGCGCGCUGCUUUACUUCGAUUGUAGCUCCCCAUAAUCUCCGGAAUGAAGAGCAAGCGGUCCAGGCCGGGUGCGGUGGCUCAUGUCUGUAAUCCCGGCACUUCCGCAGGCCAAGUGGAAGAGUGAAGACUCAGAAGAGGAAGGACCCAGGGUGGCCCGGGGCAGGAGAGCCUCGGGAGGGACUGACAGCAGCCAGGAGGCUGAGCCUGAACCCUAAAACCUACCCCCUCCUCCCCAAAAUGGGCAAAUGGGUGUAUGUCCCAGUCUUUUCCUUUCAGGGCUGGACCUGAAACCAGCCAAGACACCUGGCUUUCAGGUUUCAUUCCAAGUUCGUCCCUCUUCUCUUGCUCCCUGGCCUGACCCUGCUAAACCUCCCACGCACAAAUCUCCACUUCCACACUUUUAUUCCCCGGUCCUUCUGCCUGGAAUGCCCUCCCCACACUCGUCUCCAAACUUUGAAAUAGUUAUACACUGUUAUUAACAGUCGUCCUGGUACCAGAGCAAGCAGAAUGCUAUUAAAACCAUGGGCUUUUCCGUCAGCACAGACCCCAGUGUGAAUCCUGCCUCUGCUGUUUGCUAGCUGUGUGACCUUGGACAUCAUGCUUAACCUCUCUGAGCCUCAGUAUCUUUGUCUAUUAAAUGAGAAAAAUAAUACCCACCUCAUGUGGUUGUUGUGGAAAUGAAAAGAGAGAAAGCAUGUAAAAUACAUACACAAUGCCUCACUCAAACUAAGAAUAUACAGGAAUAGCUAACACAGUAUUUACUAUAUGCUGACCACAUUAUGUUAAUUUAAAUCUUCCUCCCCACAAAGCUGUGAGAGAAGAACCAUAUCAUCCCUGUUUUAUAGAUUAAAAAAACAGGGCUGGGGAUGCGGGCUCACACCUGUAAUCCUAGCACUUCAGGAGGCCAAGGUGGGCAGAUCACUUGAGGUCAGGAGUUUGAGACCAGCCUGACCAACAUAGCAAAACCCCGUCUCUACUAAAAAUACAAAAAUUAGCUGGGCAUGGUGGGCACACCUGUAGUCCCAGCUACUCAGGAAGCCGAGGCAGGAGAAUCCGGGAGGCAGAGGUUGCAGUAAGCCGAGAUGGCGCCACUGCACUCCAUUCUGGGCGACAGAGUGAGAACAAAAAAAAACAAAAACAAAAACUGAGGCACAGUCAGGUUUGAUAACUUGCCCAAGGUCACACAGCUAGGAAACAGCAGAACUGAUAGCUGUUAUUAUUAUUAUUAUUCCCCUACUAGAUGGUAGGCUCAUUGAAGAAAGGUGCUUUGCACAUAAUAAUUGGGGUUUUUUAAUUUGUUUUUUGAGACUGGGUCUCGCUCUGUCAUUCUGACUGGAGUGCAAUGGCACAAUCACAGCUCACUGCAGCCUUGAAUUCCUGGCCUCAAGUGAUCCUCCUGCCUCAGCCUCCCAAAGCAUUGGGAUUACAGGAGUGAGCCAUUGUGCUGGGCCAUAAUAAUUUUAAUAACUACUUUCAAUAAUGUUAAAAAAAAGUCCAAGUUCAAGUCCCUGCAAAUUUCAAGAGGCAUCCUCUAUUUCCUAAAAUUCCCCCAGAAAAGAAAUUCCCAGCUUCUUCAGGGAAACAGCAGUGACACCACAGGGAAGAAAAAAAAUUUUUUUUUUUUAAUCAGAAAGCUUGGAUCGAUUUUGGCCAGGUCACCUCUUCCCAACUCUAUGAGUUGAGACCAAUCGCUUCGCUUCUCUGGGCCUCACCUUUCUGGUUUGUAAGAUAGGGUCAGCAAAUGCCAGAGCUGCCUGCUUGCCCAGGCGGAGCUGAGAACCCAGUGUGAGAUCUCAAGAGAUAAAGCACUCUGUGGACUAGAACACCCUGUCCAAAGUGAAGGUCUUUUCAUUUGUAACCCUUUCCCAUCCUUGGCCCCACUACUGGGAAGUUUUUCCGUUAGGACCAAGCCUCAAGCGUGUGGUGGAAAAUAACAGAGGCAUUUAAAGGGAAAUGAAACUGCCUUCCUCAGCAGAAUGUUCCCCACACAUUUGCUGUGGCCCAUGGCAGCGCCUCUGCUGGGCGCCUUCAGCCUUAGGAAGCACUAGCGGCCGCCUGACGCCACGGGGCAAUUCAGAGGCUGGUAAACAGCACAUGGCAUUCCCGGCCCAUGGCAGGCAUUCAUGCACGGAAUUCUUUGUCCUCGUGAGGAAAGACAGAGAGUUGCUCUGUGCUGCAAAGCUCAAAGCCAGAACUCCACUUUCAAAACUCCCAGCCCGAGAUCACGCCAAGGCUAAGCGUGCCACCAACCCCUUAAAGUGUGCUUGUGAAAUAAACUUGUCCAAACAUGGACUUUUUUCUUGAAAA